GUCUUCGAUGCCGAGGAUUAUUUCUCAAGUGUUUCGCAUGUUGUUGUCAAUGGGGUGGAAAAUGUAAGAAGUAAGGAGGU
rnacentral:sRNA from 1 species